GUCAGAGGUCACCUCCCUUGGGCCUGCUGCCACUGGGCAGUGGCUGUAAUUGAGGAGCCCAGUGUGCACUAGGUGGAAAUUGCUGUCACUCCUGGCCCCCCAAGCCUCCUGGGUUUCGCUAUGGGAGCCGUUCUGCCCAGGUUGGUCCUCGGGCAGGGAGGAUGGCAGACGAUGUCCAGGCAGACAAAUGUCCCAUCCCUCAGGCCCGGUGUCACUGGCCAGUGGCUCUCAACUAGGUGGUCAGCAUGCAUUAAGUGGAACCUCAGGUCCCUCCUGGCCCUUUGGCCUCCUGCAAUGAGCUGUGAGAAAGCUCCCAGACAGCGAUCCACUCCCUUGAGACUGCUGCCACUGGGCAGUGGCUGUCAACCAGGAGCCCAGUGUGCACUUAGUGGAAACUGCUGUCCCUCCUGGCCCCCCAAACCUCCUAGAUUUUGCUAUGGGAGCUGUUCUGCCUAGGUUGGCCCUCCAGCAGUGAAGAUGUCAGGUCCCCGCAGCCCAUGCCUGGGCUGGGCAGCCUCAGCCCCCACCCCAAGAGGCUGCAGAGCCUUUGGCGUCCGACUGUGACCUCCACCUCACCCCUGCAGACAGAUGUCCCGUCCUCAGGCCCAGAGUCACUGGCCAGUGGCUCUCAACCAGGUGGCCAGCAUGCACUAGGUGGAAGCGUGGGUCCCUCCUGGCCCCCCAGCCUCUUGCAUUGAGCUGUGGGAGCCCUUCUGCCCAGGUUGGCCCUCCAGCAGGAAGGAUGGCAGAGAAAGCUCCCAGAGACAGAGGUCCUCUAUUUUGGGCAGUUGCCACUACGCAGUGGCUGUCAACCAGGAGCCCAGCGUACACUAGGUGGAAACUACUGUCCUUCCGAGACCACGAGCCUCCUGGAUUUCGCUGUGG